UCAGGCCAAGAGACAGCCCUGGAAUGAGAUUGAGAGGAGUAGGGGAAUAGUGGUGGAUUUCUUUUUGCUGCAGGCUGUUCUAUGGACUGCUGAAGCCCCAUCUCAGUGAGUGUCUGGGGAAGUUCACACAGCAGCAUGGGUAUGUCCUACCAUUGGCCCACAUGGAUGCCCCUCUUCCCUGCUUUCUAAGACGUUUAGCCACAGGGGGAGUGCUGUAUUGUAAAGUCAUGUACAAAGUGUACUGAGUGAACAAAGGAAAUUCAUGCAUGGGAGCCCUGAUUAAAGAGGAUCUGAUUCUUCAGGCCUGCUUCAAGCCUUCCAAGAUCUGGACUCAGCCCGUGUGCAUAGAGUAACUUUAUGAUCCCUCCAAUCAAACUUACUACUGUUCCAGUUAACAUGUAUAUCCAACUCUGUGUACAGGAUUGAUGCAGUGUCUGCAAAAUGCAUGUGAUUCUCAACUAGUGGAAUUCCUACCCAACCCUGGGAUCCCAGCAAGAACGUCUUUUCUAAUAUGAGCCGUCUUCACCUCACUUUAUCUGGGCCUGGACAACCAAGGCCUCCUUCAUCAGAGUGCAGAAACUGACCUAUCAAAUGCAUUUGCCCACAUCCCCCCAUCCCCAACAACAGAUACUAAGAAAUCUACCUUUGAGGGAACAGGAGAGAUUGCUUCACUUUCUUCACUUUCUUACUAUGUCAACCCUCCUGCUCUCUAUCACAGGAUAGUUUAGAGAGGUCAUCAUCAUUUUGAUAUCAUACAGGUCAUUGCACAGGACUCUGACAGUGAUGACGUCAUGCUAACUUGAGCUGAUGAACAGCAAGUAGAAGAUGCUCUGCGUACCUUAGGAAGACACGUGCCUGCCAGUGCAUGAGAGAGAAACCCCAUCAAAGUCAGGGGCCUGCCUCACUAGUGAUGUCAUUAGGAGUCCAGUGGCCUGAAAUGAGUUGCCACACCUUUGCACUCUUUUUCCACCACCAGGAAAACAGCACAAUACCUUAUGGUCUUCUUUGGAUUUUGUAGAGAACAGGCACCACAUUCAGGUGUGCUGCUCGAAUCCAUUUACCAGGAGAUCCAUAAUAUUACCAUUUGUGAGUGGGGCCAGAAGACAGAAAAGGUACUGCAGGAGAGCCAAGCUGUGAUAAAAAACUGCCCUACUGAUUGAUUGUUAUUCAGCAGACCUUAGAGUAUUAGAAUUGUUGAAGUGUCUGUGGCAGACAGAAAUGCUCUGUGUAGCCUCUGGCAAACCCCAAUGGGAGAAUUACUGCCCAGAUGCCUAGAGUUUUGAGUAAGGCAUGCCCUACUUUGUCAGCAACUCUCUAUUAGAAAAGCAACUCCUGGCUUGCUACUAUGCCCUAGUAGACACAGAACACUGUAUUAUGGAAUACCAAAUAACUAUUUAACCUGAAUUUCCCAUCAUGGAAUGUGUGUUGUUAAUCCAUCAAAUCAUAACAUUGGAUAUAUUAAGCAGUAUUCCACUGUCCAGUGAAAAUAGAAUCGAAGGGCAGAGCUGCGUAAGUAUGGAAGGCAGGAGGAAACUGCAUGAGCAGAUGGCUCCGGCCUCCAUUGUUCAUGCUUCACUGCUUUUCCUUCAACCCCCAUAGAGUUUCCUGUGGCCAGUUAACAAGGAAAGAAAAGAAUAGAACUGGUUUACAUAUAGAUCUGCAUGGAUUGUUGGAACUACCAGAAGCUGAUGGAUGGUGUAUUGUAGCCUUACUCUGGGUUAGCCCAGAAAAGUAGUAGUGAAAUAGUACUCCUGGUCAGAACUCCAACUGUAUACUGGAAGGAGAAAUGGCCUAGAAUAGGUAUCUAUUCAUGGGCAGUAGUUAGUAGCUUGACCAACUGGUUAGCGACUUGGAAAGGGCAACAUUGGAAGACUGGUGCCUAGGAAGUGGGAAGACAUAUAUAGACGUACCUCUCCGUGUGAGCACAGAGUGUAAGAUGUUUAUGUCCUGUGUAAAUGCCCACCGGAAUAUAUCUACUUUAGAGAAGGCUCUCCAUACUUAACCAGGCAAGGUGUGACAGGUUGCGAAAUGACUGCAAUUGAUUCCUGUUUCUUAAAUGCAUGUCUCUUAGCAAAGUGACUUUGCCACUGUGCCCAUCAAGAGGUAGAACCUGUUACUCCACUCCUUAAUUGAGGCUUCACUGGGUGACUGGCUGUGGUUAGUGGUGUUUUAGCAAAUGUGAUGCAUUCAAAGUGAUUAUGAAUUGGUGCUUUCUCUUCCAUGCUGAGUUCGGAACCCUGAGUCCAUCUUCCUGUGAAUGAGCCUGAGAUAAUUUACUGAAGAGGUCCCGUGGAGAACCGAGAUGCUUCAGUCCACAGCCUGCCAGUCAACAGUCUAUGUUCUGCGGUUGUAAUAUACAUUAAACAUCAUAUAGGUCCAGUCAGUUGUGCUGCAGUCUUGAAUAUGCUAUUCAGCAUCUGGCCUGGAUCCCUGAGAUUUGCCUCUUGAUAUCCCAAGAUAAUUUGAUAGCAAGAGAAAACACUGGCAAUGUAAUGCUAAGUGAAGAAAAAGCUGAGUUCACAAAGAUUGGCCCUCAGAGCACGUGGCGUUCCCAUGCUCUGAGAACUGGGCCCUUUGUGGUAGCAAAGCGCAGAGGACAGGACAAUUCCUGGAGGCUUAUAGCUGGACCCAGUGUGCUGCUGGAGGUCUCAGGUGCACCAAAUUGGAGCUGGGAGAGCCUGAAGCAAAGUAGAACCGCCCAGCCAAGCCAAGAAGGGUGGGCUUCUGCUAUGAGAGCAGACCUGGCACAAACAGAUGAGAAGCAGAAACAAGUGAAGAGGAUUGAAGAGGAGCCCACAUUUUAAAAGUCCUUGUCUGCAGGAGGUGGCAUUACCUGUGAUCUCGCUUCACUUCUUCAUAUAUGGCUGUUGUAGCAGGCCUGGAUCUUUGAGACUUGCUCCCAGGAGGAGUCAACUUGGGAAAAUGCUGGCGAUGUAAUGCUAAGUGAACAAAAACCGAACUGUGAAGACUAGGCCUAGUGGAAACUGAAUUCUCGCAAAGAGAAGAUGCCUGAUAAGGUCCUGGUAUCCUGACACUCGUCCCUAGAAGACAACUUGAUAAUUGGGAAAAUGCUGGAGAAUGAAUGCUGAGUGAAGAAGAGCUGAACUGUGAGGCCAAGAUCUGAUGGAAAGAUUUUCAAGAAGCUGUCACAUGAAGAAGUUGAAGAAUGUUUAAUGACAUGAGAAAGCGCUAUGUUCUAAUGCUAAAUGAUGAAACUAUGAGACAAAACCCUGCCUAACUUCUGAUUGGAUUUUAUAUUCAUCCUCCUUCCCGUGAGGCCUACCAGGUGGCAUAUUGCAGGAGCCACUGUGCUUCCUGAAGGUCUCCGAGGCACCCAACUGUCUAAAGACCCGCUGCUUGGAACUAGGAGGACCUGAAUGCCUGGAUCCCUGAGGAUUGCCCCUUGAUACCCCCCAACAAUUUGAUAGUAUGAGAAAAUGCUGGAGAUAUAAUGCUGAGGGAAGAAGAACAGAUAUGGGAAGAAUUGUUCAAGUGGGAAUUGAAAUCUGGAAAAGAGAAGAUGCCUGAUGAGAUUGGGUGGCUUAGAUCUCAGUUUGAUAUCCAAGGAAAACCUAAAGCAAAAUACAAAAACUACGAGCAGGUUUCCUCAAACUGAGCAAGAUACAGGGCAGCCAUAUUUUCUGGUGUCUUUGUCUUUUCAUGGUGUUUUUUCAAACGUGAAGGGCGGGAGAAGAAUGCUUGGAGCAGGGCUGGUUGGCUUUUCUGGGACUAUACUGCCAUCACGCGGAAAUAGUUUGAUGAAUCCCAAGCCAUGAAUGCUUCCUCCAUGCAAGGCCUAGCAGUUGAGGGAGCUCAGGCCAAUGGGAGGUAGAACAGAUCCUGAACCCAGCCUGGCCUCCCUACGUUUCUCUCUGUGGCCUGGCAGGAGCAGUGGACAGAGUCAGGGUCUUCGUGUAGCAUCUGAUGAGCGAGGCGCCAGGGCCCAGGACCUGGAACCCAGCCAGCUGCUGCCAGGAAGUCCAGGCACAGGAAGUAGGGAGGCGGGGCCUCAGUGUUUGCUAACAGUGAGGGCAGGACAUAGAUCCAAGUGCAGAAGCUGGGGACGUUUGUCCUGUGAGUAUGCCCUUUGGGGCCUAGGCAUGCUGGCUAUUGGUGUGUUGUGGGGCCUGGUCCCGUUGUGACAGCAGUGACAGAGUGCAUUGGACAGGCCGAUGCCAAGAACCCCAAGUAGCCGAUGUCACGGAUGGAGCUGAGGCAUGCCAAAAGUCUAAAGUACCACUGCCUGGAGCAAGAAGGACCUGUAUAGAAGGAAUGGGAAUACACUGACGUGCCAGCGUGGGCCAGCACAUCUUCUGGGAGACUGGAGCUGCUCAAGUGGGUGAAAACCUUGAGGAAUACUCUGAGCCCACCAUCUGGCAGCUCCUGUUGCUUUGCAGGUUCAUUGUAAAGCCCAAGGUCCAUCCCUUUGUCCUGACAGGCCCCUGAUGUUAUCUCAGUUGUUGUAAGGAGGGCAGAGAGGUGACUGUGGCGGUUGGUAUGCCCUUGAAAAGGACGGCGUUAUUUUGGCCUUGAGGAAACAUCAUUUGCCUCAUACUGUUAUGGGACCAAACUUGGGUCUGCUUGCGGUGAAGGAAAAUGCAGCAUUUACUGCAGGAUGCCUAGCAAGGAAUCCAGGUAGCUAGUGCUCAGAAGGCCCAAACUCCCUGAUGGCUUUCAGGGAAAAGUUGUUAAAGUCAGGGUGAGAGAGCAGGGUUGUGGGAUGUGUGACCAUCUCGUGGACAUUCUUCUGACUAGUUGGUGGUGAGGUCAUCAGGAGUCAACGUCAUCAACCUACUGGUUCCAACUGUUCUGGGCUGUACAUGCUUGUGGGCAGCAUAUAGUUAACUUCUCCCGCCUGGUGGGGUUUCAGUAUCUGUAAAACAGUUCACAGGAUCUGGCUCAGGACAUUAUCUCUAGCCCUUGCUGAAGAACCAAAGGUCCUUUGCUUUGUUUAAUGGUUAAACAAUUACUAUUUUGUCUUGUUUGACUGUUUUCCUUUCUUUCUGCAUUUUAUUCUCCAAUUAAAUGUACUCUUUGGAACUUGGGGAAGCCUAGGAGACUAAAGUUUUCCUAUAGACAAGCGGCAGGUGGAGGACUUGCAGGGGAUGGGUAUCUGAUCCUGGAAGGCCCCAUAGGGUCUUGCUCACUAACAAUCCUAGUUAGUGUUCUUCUCUGUGCCUGCUUCAUAGGUGUAUUCCUCAACAACCUUAUAAGAUAUCCACCCUCUUGGUAUAGAGACUCCAAAUACCUCAUGGCUAAUAAUUAUAGAAUCAAGAGGGUGACUAAAAAUUCAUGGGUGCCUCUCUCCUCAUGGCAUCCUUCUUAAUCUCUUAUGUCAGUAUAUAAAGCUUUUAAAAGAAAGGAAGUGAUAUCAGACUGUUGCUCUGCUGUGACCUUUUAGUGGUUCGAGGUGGUUUUUAGGUAUGGCCUCUCCUGGACUCUGAUAACCCAGGAAGGCAUUCCGCUUUGAAAGGUAAACUUCCAUUAAUACCAGGGGAAGAGAACUGGCUUUUGUGACAUUCUCACCUGCUCCUAGCUCUCCUUCAAGCUGGUCAUGGUUGAGUUCACUGGUGGUGUGUAGACAUUGGUGCUAUUGGCAGAUAUGUUUCUUGGAGAGCUUUUGGGAAACAUGCCUCAAUGGCUCUAGGUCAUGUGAAAGAGAGAAAUGACCUCUAACGUCCCCCUCCUGUUUCACCUUCAGUAGACCCAGAGAGUUUGGACCAGCGUAGCUGGGCUGCCUCUUAUGGAGGAGUAGUCUGACCUGACCAUUUUCUUGGAAGGGCACAGCCAUAUAUUUGGAGACAGUGUCCCCAUAUCUGAAGCUAGAAAUGUGGUUGGUUCUAGACCUGAAAUUCCUUCAGCUCCACACUGUUGUGUUCAUCCUUUGUGGACUUUCUUUAUUAGAGGCCCCGUGCCUAGUAGUGAAUGGAAGCCUAAGGCAGUCUCACGUAACAAGUCUCAGUGAUGGAGCCAAGUUUCAUUAGUGUUUCCUUUGCAAGAGCUGAUAGUGUGGAUGGGCAAUAGAGCCAUCAUUUUGUUUUUAUUUUAAUUUUUUUAAUCCAUUCAUUUGAGCUCCCUUCAGCCCUCACAAAGCCUGAAUUCCAUUCCCUUUGUCCUAAUAGGAAGAGACAUUCUCUUCUUGUGUUUUAGGGAGAAAAGCCAACAGUUGGACUUUGAGAAUCAAACCAUAAAAGUUUGCUAACAGCAGGCCUGCCAUAUUGGAAGGAAACCUGGACCCUGCCCCACAACUUCCUGUGCCUUGACCUCCUGGCAGCAGCUGGUUCACUCCAGGCCCCUCGCACUCCAGGUUCUACCCCAAGAUACUGCCAACAUCCAGAUACGACCUUAGGCGAAGAGACAAGGAGACCCAGCUGGGAGCCCAAGCCUGUUCUAUCUCCUAAUAGGUCCAACCUUCCUUGAUGGGUGGGUCUCACAGGAAGGAAGCUAUGACAACUGAGGGUGUUGUGAAACUGCUUCCGCACGAUGGCAGUAGUGCUGCAGGUAGGCCAACAGGCCCUGUCCUCAGCACUCUCUUCUCCCGCCCUUCUAGUUUGAAAAAAACGCCACCAAGAGACAAAAGAACCUGACUGCAUAACAUUUUGUCCCAUAUGAGGAAAUCUGCUCACACUGCUACAGUUUUGCUUUUGUUUUCCAUCUGAAAUCAAACUGAGGCUUAAAACCAUCCACCCUCAUCAGGUAGCUUGUUCUUUCAGAAAUUACAUUUCCACCCUACCUCGCCUAUGCAUUUCUAUUUUUCUUCACUCAGCAUUUUAUAUUCAGUAUUUUCUCUUGGCAUCAAGUUUUGUGCCUCAAGGGAGAAGUCUGAGAUAUCCAAGUUUAAGAGAGAAAGGAAAAUCCCAGAAGUUCAAAGCCUAGAAUAGGAUAUCUCUAGCUGUCCAGCCUAUCUCUGAGGCUGUCAGAGAUUCUGAUUCCAUUUUUGGUCUUAGCACUUAAACCUCUAUUUUGUAGGAAGUAGCCCUUUUCUAAGCCUCACAAUAGGGCCUAUUUAGUGUUCUUCACUCUAUUCAAAAUGAUGCCUUAAGUGCAGUGACACAUUUCUCUACACUCCUUUCAUAAUAGACAUGCUCUUUUUGUAGCAUAUGCUUGUUGUGGGUCUCAUUUAAGAUGGCAGUUUCAUUAAACAGCUUUCUUCUAUAUCUUGAGAUUUUUGUUUAUUAUUUAUUGAACUGUGUUACCAUUUUUCAGUAGAAAUACCUUUUAUUUGUAAAUGGAUAGAGGAAAUAAGGGAAUGUUCUCCAAAAAAGAAAAUCACUGACGUAAAUGGACCAUAUCAAUCAAAAUAAUCAAUGAUUAAAUUUAUGGGUAUUCGCUUCUGAUUCUUUUGCUUUACACAUACACCAAUCUUAAGCCCUCAAAGAAGACAUAGAGAAUUGAAUUAAUCAAUAAACAUACAUUACUUAUUAAAUAAAGUUUUGAAAUCUUUA